AUUCAUUUAGUAUAAAAAGUAUGUGAAGCCUCCAACUUCAAGGUUUUAAUAAAAUGAAUA
rnacentral:tRNA from 1 species